GACGAACGCUGGCGGCGCGCCUAACACAUGCAAGUCGAACGAGCGAGAGAGAGCUUGCUUUCUCGAGCGAGUGGCGAACGGGUGAGUAACGCGUGAGGAACCUGCCUCAAAGAGGGGGACAACAGUUGGAAACGACUGCUAAUACCGCAUAAGCCCACGACCCGGCAUCGGGUUGAGGGAAAAGGAGCAAUCCGCUUUGAGAUGGCCUCGCGUCCAAUUAGGUAGAUGGUGAGGUAACGGCCCACCAUGCCGACGAUUGGUAGCCGGACUGAGAGGUUGAACGGCCACAUUGGGACUGAGACACGGCCCAG
rnacentral:rRNA from 1 species